GUAAAUAUAGUUUAACAUAAGACAUUAGACUGUGAUUCUAAAGAUAGAAGCUAAAACCUUCUUAUAUACC
rnacentral:tRNA from 1 species